CCUACAAUGCGUCUGGGACUCUUAGAAGCUGAGGAUACAGAGGUGGACCAGACAUGAUCUCUGUCUUCACGGAGCAACUUGAAGAACCUUCUAGCCUUACCUUCCCAUUCAAUAAAUGGAUAAAUUAAGGCCCAUGGAGGAGGACUGAUCUAUACAGGUCUUAUGGUGGAAAGAUGGCAGGGUUCAUAGGUCAUUGGACCUCAAGGAGGAAACCUGAUGAAGGAUCAUUAGGGAUUGUGAGCUUCAACUGGACGUGGUUGGUUACAGGAUAAGUAUGGAAGGAAGAUUGAAAAGCCUGCCAGGAAGAUGGGAUGAUACAAGCCUGCUACAGUUGGGGGCAAGGAGAAAUGAUGGCUUGCCUGCCACACAGGGUUGUGGAGUUAGGAAGAAUAAUGCCAAAGCACUUCAGGAACUGUCCAGUGCUGAACAAAUGUAGAGAAGAUGAUGAUGAAGCUGAUGACACUGAUAAUGAAGAUGACGACAAUGAUGAUAAUUGUGCUUUAUACAUGAAGAUACUUGAUUUUUGACGGACUGAUUAGACACAGUUUCCCUGACUAGAGCUACCUAACACCUUCCUUCUAGAGUUUAUCUGGAUAACCUUGGCUCAGCUUGAGUAUGGACACUGUAAUCGCCUUUUAGCAAAGACUGCCCUGAGCAGAGGCCACCAUCUUUGAGUGACCCCCUGGAGAAGCCAAUUGCAAUCCCUUCUACUCAUCCUGAGUUGACUCCAGUCAGGGCUGCCUGGUGGGCAUGUCUGGCCAAAACACUGCAUCCCUCUGGCCACGGUGAUUGUUUCAGCAUUCAGUGAUGUGACUUCAUCCAGGCCAUGAGACUCAGCCCCAGGACUUCUGCUGGAACUAUUGGGAAAGAGACGUUCCCCCACCCCUGGGGGCUACUAAUUUCAUACCAUGUAUGACUGGAGUUCCCAAGGUCACCAUGAGGGUGAGCCAACCUGAAAGGUUGUGAACAUGAACUAAUACAGA